UUUGUUUGUAUGUGGUGCUGAGGAUCGAACUCGGGCCGCACGCAUGCCAGGCGAGCGCGAUACCGCUUGAGCCACAGCCACAUCCCCAGCCCGGACUUAUUUGCUCUUGAUAGCAAUGCAGCAAAUGCCUUGGUGCCUGCUAAAGUUUCCAAGGGACAUGCACCCAUUGAAAACAUCUUUCACUCUUUGGGCAGGUGGAUUCCGUUAAUUUUACAAACAGCUGAAGGUAAUCUGUUUGCAGAAUCAUUGGUUUAAAACCAAAUCCACAUUUCUUUGCAUGUGUUGUUUAUGGCCUUCAGAUUAAUAAUAUGAGAUGUGUGUGUAUGUGAGUGCAUGUAUAUGCAUGUGCUUAGAAUAUAUUUUUUACAUGCACACAACAAAGAUAGAAGCUGUUACUCAAUUUUAUGAAAUGAAAAUAUGAUGAAGAAUGUUUAGAAAAAAAUAUAGAUAGAUAAAUAGAUAGAUAGAUAGAUAGGUAGUCAGGAGGAGGCUCUGACUGUGGUAAAGAGAUUUUGGAUCCCAACAGGUGGGAGAAGAUCUAAAGCACAGUUGGAACAGUGGACUUGCUUUAUUCAGAGGUGGCAGACCCCAGCUCCAGCUUUAGCCCCCAACCUGUUCCAUUUAUCUCCCAGCUUGUUCCAUUUAGCAGCACCCCCCAGUCUUUUCCAGAGGCAGUUUUUAUUUUCUUUUUAGCUUUACUGUUUUUAUUAAUUAAUGAAUUUUUUUUUUUAGUUGUAGUUGGACACAAUACCUUUAUUUAUUUAUUUAUAUGUGGUGCUGAGGAUCGAACCCAGCUCACACAUGCCAGGUGAGCACUCUACCUCUGAGCCACAACCCCAGUCUUCCACAGGCCUUUUUUUUAUAUUCAGACCAGACAACGAAGACACAGUGUCAAUAGGUUAUAUCAGUGGGCACAUGCUCACAAGCAAGUGUUUAUGACCUUAAGGUAGAUAUGUUAAAUCAGAGUGUUUCUGACCUUGACUACAAACUAAAAACAUAGCCCACUGAAAGUUUUGGUGAGGGAGCCUAACUACAGCCAUUUGGGGCCUGCCCUACAGUUGUCAAAUACAAAGUUUAGUAACAGGAAACUCAGACUCGUGAUUUUAUAAUUUUUUAGCUCUAAUGGCAGCCUCUCAGAGAGUCAAGGGAUGUUUGACUCAGACCAGCUUUGUGCCCUUUGUGGCAAAGUGGACCUGUAAGCUUUGAGUUAGAGAAACCAAUGAAGAAGAUAGGACUCAAAGGCUCCAUGAAAUGAUUUGAAUGUUUGUUCUCCAGAUUCAUGGGUUGGAGACUUCCUCUCCAGUGUUACCAGGUUGAGAGGUGAUAGACCUUCAUGAGACAACGAGGUUGCGGUGCACCAUCCUCAUUAAGGAAUUAAUGAAGUUCUUGUGAGAGUGGGGUGAAGGUAUUUGCUCCUAAUGCUGAGCAGAUGCACAUCAUUAAUCACUUGAAAGAGAGCCCAGCAGAAGAGAAGAGAAAGGUGGGUGAGGAAAGUGCCAGGCGAGCCCAUGGGACCUUCAAGAUUUGGCAGACAUGAACUUCAGCGAGCUCGAUGCUGUCAUUUUACCCUGACCCUGGGUGCCCUGGAUGGGAAAGACUGCCUGGUCAGCACUUCUGUGAAGGACCCUUCCUGCUCUGCCCUCUGCUGGAAGGCCCAGUGGCUGCUGCUGUGUUUCCCCUGGGAUGGCAGCCAAAGCCUUCCUGCUUGUGGAUUCUAGUACAUCAGGGUGACAAUCCACGGGGACAAAGAGGAAGCAGAAGGUGGAAAGUUCCCGGCCAGGUUUGCUGCGGAUGACGGCGAUGCUGCAGCACAGAAUCCUAGACGUGACAAGGAUGAUUGGAGAAGAGAGGAUAAGUGAAGCAAUCUCUGAGUGAUUAAACAACAACAAUAACAGCAACAACAACCCCUCAAACUUCACUAUUUCAGGUGAACGUCGUGGUGAGAAGGGACUGCAUGCACACAUGCAUACCUGAACGUGACUGCAGAGCUCUGCUGGAGAGAAAAGUGGUGCAUCUUGUUGAGACUUUUGUCCCUCUUAGGUUCCCUCUAGCUUCACUUUGUGUAGGCAGAUCCUGCUAGCAUUGACAAGGAUGCUAUAAUAGUGCCACAUGUCCUCUGUAGUCCCAGGUGUUGAGAGCCACAGCCAAAGGGGCCCCAGCAAACUUCCAGCUGCCUGCUGAUGAUCCAGCUGCCAGCAAACUUCCAGCUGCCGGCUGAUGAUUGGCUCACAGUGGCCCCAGCA